rnacentral:lncRNA from 1 species
UAAACAAGAACAGGAACCAUUUAAUUAAACACUGCAAAACAUACGGUUUCCUUUGAUCAUUCCACAACCAUCAACACUUGCACAACACCAUCAACUUAACGACAUCACCAACAACUACCAAACACCAAUAAUGAACUACAGACUACACAUUCAAAACACAAAACAUAGUACUUUUUCCUACAAUUCCAAUCACAAACAACAUCCUACCUACUAAAAGACAUAAAUUUAUGCCAUAGUCUUCACUUCUUAGGAUUUGCACCAACUAUAGCUGGAAAUUAGGAUUUGAAUCAACCCUUUCUUAAGCAUGGUUGAUAAGAAAUGGAGAAAAAUAUCAAGGGCAGGUGCCAAUUCCAAUGAGGAAUGCUCUGCUUCUGACCAAAUCCCGACCAAAUCCCAAUUGAAGAAAUAGGUUUAAAAACCCCAAAUGAACUCCGUUUGUGAACCUUGAAAUUCGGGUUGUCUUUAGAAUUCCCACAUAACUCAGAAUUGAGAGCAAGAAUUGCAGCAGUUGGAUUGUUUAAAUUCUUGAAAAUUGUAAGAGUAGGACGAUGAGAUUUUGGAGACUUUUUGAAUUGGAUUGAAAUUGAUCAAGAAUCUAAAUCCCAUCUAAAGUUCUUGAGAAAAAAUUGACUUGAUUCAAGAUUUCUGUAUUGGCGAGGUGAACUGCGAGAAUUUUAAUUUGGGAUGUUAAAGACAGGAACCAACAUUUCCUUCAGGCAAAUCCUAGGUUGUUCUGACUGGAAAAUUUGCAGGCUUAACUAGCACAAAACGUCUUCAUUUAUUUUAUGUUUUUGGGGAAAAAGUCUCUAUCCUUCAUUUUUUUACGAAUUACACCAUCACAUUUACCUUUUUUUGGGCAAAACGUCAUUCUGUCAAUUCUCCAUUUAAAUGUUCCAUUAAAUCAAAAGAUAAUUAGCAUAAAAAGUCCCUACACUUCAAUAUUAUUAUACAAAAUGUCCCUAUCUUUCAUUUUUUGACAUAAGUAGCACAAAAUGUCCCUACCUUUCAAAGUUAUUGUGCAAAACAUCCCUACUUUUCAUUUUUUAGCAUUUUCAUCCCUGCCUUUCACCUUCCAUUGCGAAAAAUGUCCUUCUCAUCCAUUUUUUCAAUAAAAUUCCAGCCACCACCACUUUCACAAUCUAUCAAGCUGCCAACUAUAAAUCAGCAUAACACCACCUUUCUUCCACCAUGCCCACCGAACUCCACGACCGUAAAUGUGGUUGUUUCAGACAGAUUGGUGACCAAUACUAUGGAGGAGAAUAUUAGGGAAAGUGAGGCGAGGCUGGUGGUAGUGGAGUUCGAUAGGUGUUGUGGUCGAAAGGUGGUGCUAUAUGGAUCUAUAGGUGGUAGCUUAGUGGGGUUAUGAAAGUGGCGGUAAUGGAGAAUUUAGGAUUUAUCUGUAAUAUUUUGAAAGAUUUAAGACUAUGAUUGCAAUUAAUUAUUUAUUCUUCUUUUCUUUCCUUUUUGUUUUAUUUGAAUAUGAGGAUGAAAUCGUCAUUUAUUGAAAAAAUGAAUAAAAAUGACCUUUUGCGCAAUGAAAGGUAAGGGUGAAAAUGCUAAAAAUGAAAGGUAGAGACGUUUUACACAAUAACAUUGAAAGGUAGGAACAUUUUGUGCUAAUUAUGCUAAAAAUGAAAGGUAAGGACGUUUUGCACAAUAAUAUUGAAAGGUAGGGACCUUUUGUGCUAAUUACCUUUUGAUUUAAUGGAGCAUUUUAACAGAGAGUUGACAGAAGGACAUUUUGCACAAAAAAUGGUAAAGGUGAGGGUGUAAUCCACCAAAAAACGAAAAGUAGGAACGUUUUCCACAAAAACAAUGAAAGGUAGGGAUGUUUUGUGCUAAUUACCCAAUUUUCAGAGAGGAUUGGGAAAGAAAAAUCAGACUUGCUAAGGUUAAGGAAAGGAUUCUUGAAUUUUUGAGAAGAAAGC